rnacentral:rRNA from 1 species
AUGGAUCUCGACAUGGACGACUACAUGGACCCCUACGAGGAGGCCGAGGCCGAGGCCGCCGCGGAAGCCGCCGGCGUGACCGGCCCAGGCGCCGCAUCCGCGGACGAGGAGUCGGACGGCGAGGACGACUCGGAGGCCGAGAGCGACUACGAGGAGGAGUCCUACGGCCUUCUCAAGUCCGGCAAGCACCGGGUGCGCAACCCGGACGGCACCUUCCGCUGCCCCUUCUGCCCCGGCAAGAAGAAGCAGGACUACAAGCUCAAGGACCUCCUCCAGCACGCCGACGGCAUCGGCGUCUCCAGCAAGCACCGCCGCCACGGCCGGGAGCGUGCCUUCCACCGUGCCUUUGCCCGCUUUGUCCGCGCCGAGCCGUCCUUUGCGCAGGAGCUCUCCACUAUCGUUGGGAUUCCCGGUGCCACUGUAACUGCUACUGCUAAUGCAGAUGCCACUGACAAAGGAAAGGCCGUUGCCAAUGGUCACACCAGUGGAUCCAGUGCUGUGGCAGUGACUGAGGGACCACCACAGGAUGGCGAAGAGAAGUUUGCUUGGCCAUGGUGUGGAAUUCUUGCAGCCGGUGCAGGGUUCAAUGCUGAAAACUUUGCAGAUAGAGUGGCCAUGUUUAGUCCAGAAGACAUCGUGCCUUUAGUUUUCGAUGACACAGAAAACUCGGAAUGCUUUGCAAUUGUGCGGUUUAGUCCUGGCUGGGGUGGAUUUAGUGACGCUCUCGCACUUGAGAACCAAUUCAGUGUAAAUAAGCUUGGGAAGAAGGAAUGGGUGGCAAGGAGCAGUUGUGGAGGUGCUGUGGACGGCGAGGAGAACGAGAAUGGUGAGGUUAAGGUUUAUGGUUGGGUUGCCCGAGAGGUGGACUACACUGCUGGGGGUUUGGUGGGAAGAUACUUAAGGAAGCACACUGACAUUAAGACCAUAGAUGAGAUUACCAAGAGUCAGAGGGAGCCAUUGGGGAAGAUUGUGGCAGCAUUGGCAACUCAGCUCGAGGCAAAGAACCAAGACUUGCAGGAUCUGGAGACAAAGAAGAAUGCAACAGAAUUCUCCAUUGCAAGGCUUGAGGAGGACAAUAGGAGGCUGCAUGAGGCAUAUAAUGAAGAAAUGCGCAAGCUGCAUCGCAAGGCUCGUGACAAUGCUCUGAGGAUUUUCCAGGACAAUGAAAAUUUGAAGCUUGAAAUAGAAAAUAACAAGAGAGAAAUGAUUUUGCGUGCUAAGCAGCUGGAGAAGUUGUCAGUUGAGAAUGCCAAUGACAGGAAAAAACUUGCAGAACUUUCUGAUGAGAAGCAAAAGGCAAAAGACGAUAAAAGUGAACUUGAGCUGGCAAGUAUAGAGCAGCAGAGGAAUGAUCAAGAUAUUUUGAAGCUAGUCGAGGACCAGAAGAGGGAAAAGGAGGAUGCCCUCGCAAGAAUGCUUCAGCUGGAAAAGGAGCUGCAUGAGAAACGAGAACUUGAGCUCGAAGUGACACGAUUGAAUGGCACACUCCAAGUGAUGAAACAUUUGGAAGGAGACGAUGAUGGGGAUAUUCAUGACAAGAUGGAGAAGCUUAGUGAAAAGCUAGAGCAUGAAAGGAAACGCCUGGAAGAGCUGAGCGGAGAGCUGGUGAGGAAAGAGCGUGAAAGUAAUGAUGAGUUACAGGAGGCCCGAAAAGAAUUGAUAAUGGGUUUGGAGGACAUACUCAGCGGGCGGACAGCUAUCGGUAUCAAAAGGAUGGGCGAACUUGAUGAAAGACCUUUUCAGAAUGCAUGCAAGAGAAAAUAUGGAAAUGAUGAUUAUGAGACAAGGGCAGCAGAGCUGGUCUCAAGUUGGCAGGAGGAGAUAAAGAAGCCAGCCUGGCAUCCUUAUAAGUUUGUUAAGGCUGAAGACGGAAGUGACAAGGAAGUUGUAAAUGAUGAGGACCCAAGACUGAAGCAAUUGUGGAUCGAAUAUGGUGACGAUGUGUGCAAUGCAGUGAAGACCGCUCUGAGCGAAGUAAACGAGUACAACCCGAGCGGAAGGUACGUGGUGUCAGAGCUGUGGAAUUUCAGGAAAAACCGUAAGGCGACGAUGAAAGAGGUGCUGAGGUUCAUCUUCCAGCAGAUGGAGGUGCCCGGCAAGCGCAGGAGGGGUUGA